rnacentral:rRNA from 1 species
UGGUGGAGCGAUUUGUCUGGUUAAUUCCGAUAACGAACGAGACUCUAGCCUAUAAAUAGUGCAAGGAUCUUUACGUCCUUGUCACUUCUUAGAGGGACAGACGGCAUCUAGCCGUACGAAAUUGUACAAUAACA